CUCUAUACUUUCACUUUCGUGUCUCUCUGAGUCGCCCCCUCUCUCUCUCUGCUAUCCUCUCUCUACUGCACUCAUUCCUCUCUCUCUCUGGCUCGGCUGAAUGGUCGAAGUGGUUGUUCUGUUUAAAACCCUAAUCUAACCCAGUGAGCCUCUGUUUGGUUUCUAAGAAAACAAAGGAUUUGUUUUUUUGAAGUGCAACCAACAAGGUACGCCUCCCUCUGAUUAUUUCAGAAACCCUCCCUCUUCUUCCCCAUUUUUUGCUCUGUUUUCUCUCUCUGAAUUUGUAUUCCAGUCUUUCCGGGCUCACACUGAUUCAAAAUUUGUACGAAUGAAGCAAGGCUUUGACUCCCCUCUUUCUUUUCCAGUCAUUCCACGAAUGAAGAUCGAAGUCGCAGGCUAUGCAAUGAUUUGAAGAGGUAUUCACCCAAAAAAAGGAUUGAAGAGGCUUCUUGAAGAUCUCUCUCUUCUCCAGUAGCUUAUUUGUUUGAAAGAGUUCUCAUUGAAGAGUUGCUCUCCCUCCGUUGGCUUUCCCUCUGUUGCUCUCACUCCAGUGGCGAAGGAGCUGCUCAGGAACCACCGCAGCCAUUAAUAGCAGGCUGGUAGCUUUCAGUUUCAAGAACAUCAGUCCGCUCAGAUUCGUAUGAUCGAAGAGAGUCUCUGAUUUGCUGGUGUUCUU